rnacentral:rRNA from 1 species
CCUACGGGAGGCAGCAGUGGGGAAUAUUGCGCAAUGGGCGAAAGCCUGACGCAGCGACGCCGCGUGAGGGAUGAAGGUCUUCGGAUCGUAAACCUCUGUCAGCAGGGAAGAACGGUCACUGUGCUAAUCAGCAGUGAAUUGACGGUACCUGCAAAGGAAGCACCGGCUAACUCCGUGCCAGCAGCCGCGGUAAUACGGAGGGUGCGAGCGUUAAUCGGAAUUACUGGGCGUAAAGCGCUCGUAGGCGGUAUGUCAAGUCAAGGGUGAAAUCCCCGCGCUCAACGUGGGAACUGCCUUUGAAACUGGCAAACUGGAGUGUGUGAGAGGAUAGUGGAAUUCCAGGUGGAGGAGUGAAAUGCGUAGAUAUCUGGAGGAACAUCAGUGGCGAAGGCGACUAUCUGGCACAUAACUGACGCUGAGGAGCGAAAGCGUGGGUAGCAAACAGGAUUAGAUACCCGAGUAGUC